rnacentral:rRNA from 1 species
UACGGUUGAUCGCCGGUAGUCAUAUGCUUGUCUCAAAGAUUAAGCCAUGCAUGUGUAAGUAUGAACUAUUUGUUGUGAAGCUGCGAAUGGCUCAUUAAAUCGAGUUAUAGUUUGUUUGAUGGUGCGUGCUACCGGAUAACCGUAGUAAUUCUAGAGCUAUCGUGCAACAAACCCCGACUUCCGGAAGGGAUGCAUUUAUUAGAUAAAAAAGGCGGGCGGGCUUUGCCGCCGCUCAAAUGAUUCAUGAUAACUUCGACGGAUCUUACGGCCCUCGUCGUGCGGCGGCGCAUCAUUCAAAUUUCUGCCCUAUCAACUUUCGAUGGUAGGAUGAGGGGGGCCUACCAUGGUGGUGACGGGUGACGGAGAAUUAGGGUUCGAUUAGGAGAGGGAGCACGGCGGCUACCACAUCCAAGAAAAAGCGGCGGCGCAAAUUACCCAAUCGACGCGGGGGAGGUAGUGACAAUAAAUAACAAUACCGGGCUCUUGAUGCGGUGGUGAAAUAAGUACAAUCUAAAUCCCUUAACGAGGAUCCAUUGGAGGGCAAAUGCGGUGCCGGCGGCGGCGGUAAUUCCAGCUCAAUAGCGUAUAUUUAAGUUGUUGCAGAUUAAAAAAGCUUCGUAGUUGGACUUUGGGGCGGGUCGGUCGGUCCGCCUCGCGGUGUGCACCGUCGUCCCCAUCCUCUGUCGGCGAUCGUGUGCGGCAUGCUUGGCGGGUGGUGUGCCUCCGCUAUUAUUUUGAAGAAAUUAGAGUGCUCAAAAGCAAGCCCCGCUCUGGAUACAUUAGCAUGGGAUAACAUCACGAGGAUUUCGGUCCUAUUGUGUUGGCCGGGAUGGAGUAAUGAUUAAGAGGGACGAUCGGGGGCAUUCGUAUUUCAUAGUAGAGGUGAAAUUCUUGGAUUUAUGAAAAAAGGCGAACCACUGCGAAAAGCAUUUGCCAAGGAUGUUUUCAUUAAUCAGAACGAAAGUUUGGGGGCUCGAAAACGAUCGAUACCGUCCUAGUCUCAACCAUAAGCGAUGCCGACCGAGGGAUCGGCGGAUGUUACUCUUAGGACUCGCCGGCACCUUAUGAGAAAUCAAAGUCUUUGGGUUCGGGGGGGGUAUGGUCGCAAAGGCUGAAAACUUAAAGGAAUUGGCGGAAGGGCACCACCGAGUGGAGCUGCGGCUUAAUUUGACUCAACACGGGGAAACUUUACGGUCGAACAUAGCAAGGAUUGUGAGGCCGAGAGCUCUUUCUUGAUUCUAUGGGUGGUGGUGCAUGGCGUUCUUAGUUGGUGUGGGCGAUUUGUGCGGUUAAUUCGAUAGCGAGCGAGACCUCACUGCUAACUAGCUUCUGGCGGAGGCAUCCCCUCGCGGCCAGCUUCUUAGAGGGACUAUGGCGUUUUAGGCCACGGAAGUUUGAGGCAAUAGCAGUGCGUGAUGCCCUUAGAUGUUACGGGCGCCGCUGGCUUCUGGCGAUGUAUUCAGCGAGUCUAUAGCCUUGGCCAAGCGGGGCGGGUAAUCUUUGAAAAUUUCAUCGUGAUGGGGAUAGAUCAUUGCAAUUGUUGGUCUUCAGCGAGGAAUUCCUAAUAGCGAGUCAUCGGCUCGCGUUGACUACGUCCCCGCCCUUUGUACACACUGCGCCCGUCGCUCCUACCGAUUGAAUGGUCGGUGAAGUGUUGGAUCGGCGGCGAGGCGGUUCGCCCGCCCCCAUGACGUCGCGAGAAGUCCGCGAACCUUAUCAUUUAGAGGAAGGAGAAGUCGUAACAAGGUUUCCGUAGGUGAACUGCGGAAG